UCCACGUUAGGACCUAAGCUCCUGGAGUAGCAGAACCUCGACUUCAAUGGGACUCUCAUUUCAUAAAUGAGGAAGCCGAGACUCAGAAAGAGGGGAACUACCCAAGGUCGCAGAGCGAGUUCGUGGGGAAGCAUGAUGGGGAAACUGAGCCUCACAUAUAUGAGUUCCAGCAUAUAAGCAACAGAGUCUGGAUUUGAACUUGUAUAUCUGCUUCCAGACUUCCCAGAUGACCUCCAAGUAACUGCCCAGGCAGAAGGGAGCUGGGCUGGCUCAGGCUUUUCCUGCAGGCCCAGUGGGCUCCAGGUUCAACCCUCCCAGAUGGUAGCAUUCUGAAGAGCUACUUUCCCGCCAACUCAUCUCUGGACCUUUCUGGGACCCAACUCUGGUUUCCUGCCUGCAGGAGAUCCCCUCUGACUUCCAACCAUGGGCGACCCUCUGACUCACAGUUCUACUGCUGGGAAAUGCUUCCAGAGCCGCUGCCCGCCCCCUCUGCAACCCUCCGGGCCACUGGGUGUCGAGUCAGGGGAAGCAGGGAGGCACAUGGGCAGGAAACGCCUCAGGACUUUGGCUAUUCGGAAGUAGCUCCCUUCUGGGCCACCAGGGCAGCCAACGUCCAGACCUGACUCCUGGGCUCUGCUACUCAGAGGCCAGAUGGGGGCCAAGGUGGGAAAGAGGCUUAAACCACAGCAUGGGAAGAUUUAGGUUAGAUGGGUCAGAGGAAGUCUAGGACAAGCAUUGCCCUUUUCAGUCACUGUCCAGCUUCAGCACAGCCACUGCGUCUUCUCUUUGUUUCUUGCCCAUCCCCCUGUCUCCCACCACCUCUAUCCCCUUCCAGCUUUUCUUCUUUCUUCUCUCCUUCCCAAAACCCAAAGUUUCUAAGGAUUCGUGGCCCAUGUGCGUGUCUCCCCCACCCCCAAUGCGUUCCUCACUGCCUCACAGAAACAGACACACACACCCCACGAUGAGCUGGCCCUGAGAGUCUGCUGAUUGGACUAGGGUUUGAGCCCGGCUAUUGUCCUGAGCUGAGGCCCUCCCCACAGGCAUCUUGGGGCUUCCAUCAUUUCUCUUGACAGGAGCUGUGGGCGUCUGGGCAGAUGGAAACCUGGGGGAGGUGUGGGGAGCCCUCUCUGAGGCAGGAAGCUCCCACGCUACUGUAGUUAAAAUACUCCGGCAGCAGCAACAUGGGGCAGCCAUCUGGGAUGCCCAGAUCUCCCAGGACACCCAGCUCUCAACAACCUCCGUAUCGGAACAAAUUAAAAACCUAAGAGAUACUUACAGACCCUGAAAAUAUCUCCCAAAGUGGCCUGAAUUUGAGCCCUGUUUCCUUUUGUCUUCUUCAAGGUUAGCACUGGGCAUUUGGCAUUUGCAGAAACUCUCGGAGCAUUAAGCAAAAGUUCUAGGAGUGGAAGAUACAGCGUUCUGGACCUCCAGCCCUAACACCGAGCCACACCCCAGCAGCUAUGCAUGGUUCCAUGGGAGAACGGGCAUAGCCCAUCCUGCUGGCAUAUAGUCCAGCCACUUCCAAUGCCCACCUGGAGACUGAGCCCAGUUCCGCCCAGCAACAGGAGCUCAGAACUCCAGAGAGGCUCUCCUGGGGUGCAGACUCAGGGGAUCUUAGCUGAGGAGCAGGCUCAGCCUGACUUCCUCUUUUAUAAGAGGAGACAGACUUAGUUACAGAGGAAACCAGAGUUUGUUAUAAAUAGCAAGGACGGGAGAAAACUGCUAUGGAUUACAAACGCACCAUCAAUCUUCAAACAAACUAUUUUUAGUUUCAAAUAAUAAUGAGAGUCUAAUUAAUGCUCUGUGUAACUUCAAAUGUGGGAUCUUUAUCUACUUUUCUACUUUGUGAUGCUUUCUAAUACAGGAUUAGGGCCAAAGGCAGGAAGAGACGUGGGGAAUUCUCAAUGUUACCAAAUCCUAGAUAUGGAAAGAACCUAAGAAAGUUAGUCCAGCCCCUUUAUUUUCAGUGAAGAAACUGAGGCUCAGAAAGGUAAAAGGACUUGUCCAAAGUGGCACAGUAAGGUAGGGAGUGAGCAGUGACUAAAAGCCUGGUCCCUGUGCUUCAGAAGCAGGACAGUUUCCACAACAACACAAUAGAACCCAAAGGCUAGACAUCUGUGAUUGGGCUGUUGGUGAGUUUAUGGCCUGGAUAAAAAUUAGUCUGGACCAGGCACAGAGGCUCACGCCUGUAAUCUCAGCACUUCGGGAGGCUGAGGUGGGUGGAUCAGUUGAGGCCAGGAGUUCAAGACCAACCUGGCCAACGUGGCAAAACGUCAUCUCUACUGAAAAAUACAAAAAUUCGCCAGAUGUGGUGGCACAUGCCUGUAAUCCCAGGUACCGGGGAGGAUGAGGCACGAUGGUCGCUUGAGUCUGGGAGGUGGAGAUUUCAGUGAGCUGAGAUCAUGCCACUGUACUCCAGCCUGGGGGCAGAGCAAGACUCUGUCUCAAAAAAAGAAAAGAAAAAAAAAAAAAAGAAAAAAGUCUGAAUGAAAUAGGAAAAGACAGCCCAGAAGCUAAGAUGUGGUCUUCUGAGUCACAGAGUUUGUGUUCAAAUCCUAGCUCUGCCACUGACUAGCUAUGUAACCCUGGGCUGGUAUGUAACUACUCCAAGCAACAGCUCCCACACCUCAAAAUGAGGAUCAUCGCACUCACUUUAUUACAGGACUAUUAUGAGGUUUAAAUGAGGUAACGUGGGUCAAGCAUCCAGCAUAGUGCUCAGCAAAAAAUAGAUGUUAAUUUCCUUCACAAUUUACCUCGGAUUCUGUAACCCUUCUUUAGUGGACUCCUAUCCUCUAACUGGACAGAAGGGCAGAUUUGUCAUAAAGCAGUCACGUGAGGGAUAGGAAGUCUCAGAUGAUUGUGAAUUAGGCUGGGGGUGGGGGGACAUUUUAUGGCAAUGAAGUUUGCCUGACCUAGGUGGUCACUGUCAGAUCCUAGGGUGAGAGAAGACAGAUUUGCGGAAAAUUACCCAUCCUCUGCUCACCACUCAGCGACGCAGCCUCGGGAUCCAGGGUCAGUGUUUACAGGGGAGGAGGGAGGCUUGGCAUGCUGGGUCUUCAUUGUACACAAAUACCCCGGGCCUCAACCUCACCCGUGUGCCACGCUGUGCCAGGGGUGUUACAUAACUUUUCUCUUUUAAUCCUCACAACAAUCUAUGAGGCAAAUACUGUUCUCGUCCCCAUUUUGCAGAGGAGGAAAUGAGCUCAAAGGUCACUUGGCUAGUGUAGUGGUCAUUAGUGCUGUCUCCAAAUAUUUCCGGCUCUCUGCCUUCUGGCACAAGGUAGGAUUGCAUGUCCUCACUCUUCUUUGAUGCUAGCUGUGGACAUGUGACCCACUUUAACCAAUAAAACGUGGCGGAACUGAUGGGCGUCAUCUCUAGCGGAAGCCUUAGGACUCUGGCACCCUCGCACCUAUGUUGUUCAUAGAGUGUAAAUGAGAAAUAAACUUUUACUGUGUUAAA